rnacentral:lncRNA from 1 species
AUUUAGCACUGAAAAUUACAUUUCUAAAUGAGGUUUGCUAUUUUUAACAUUCAAAUAUAUUUUAUUGGGUGGAAAGACCUUCAAUUGUUCUCUGAACAAUUGGUUUUUAAUUAGGUCUUUCCACCUUUCCGUGGAAAGACCUAUUGAAUUUGUUCUGAUUAUUAUUUUUUUUUUUUUUUUUCUUCCGCCUAAAUUUUUUUCUUGCGUAGUAUUGAUGUUUCAAAAGAUGUCGCUUAGAUAUUUGGAAUAUGAUAUCGUAUAGUUUAUACGCUUUUAAAAAUUUACAACUG